rnacentral:rRNA from 1 species
UGGGGAAUAUUGGACAAUGGGCGAAAGCCUGAUCCAGCAAUGCCGCGUGAGUGAUGAAGGCCUUAGGGUUGUAAAGCUCUUUUACCCGAGAUGAUAAUGACAGUAUCGGGAGAAUAAGCUCCGGCUAACUCCGUGCCAGCAGCCGCGGUAAUACGGAGGGAGCUAGCGUUGUUCGGAAUUACUGGGCGUAAAGAGCGCGCAGGCGGUCGUUCAAGUCGCGUGUGAAAGCCCCCGGCUCAACUGGGGAGGGUCACGCGAUACUGAUCGACUCGAAGGCAGGAGAGGGUAGUGGAAUUCCCGGUGUAGUGGUGAAAUGCGUAGAUAUCGGGAGGAACACCAGUGGCGAAGGCGACUACCUGGCCUGUUCUUGACGCUGAGGCGCGAAAGCUAGGGGAGCAAACGGGAUUAGAUACCCCGGUAGUCCUAGCCGUAAACGAUGGACACUAGGUGUUGGUGGUAUCAACCCCGCCAGUGCCGAAGCUAACGCAUUAAGUGUCCCGCG